rnacentral:lncRNA from 1 species
ACUAGUGUAAAUACUUUAAAUUAAAGAUCAAAUUUAUUUAUUACAUUCUUAUAGGGUCGAGGAGUGUAUCUGUAAAGAAUCAUCAAAAUCGGAGCUAAAAUAACCGUUAAAUUGUGAUUUUUCGUUUAUAACCGUUGAUAACUUUUGUUCCGUUACGUAAUCUCUGAAUGUUUGUUUUUUACGAUUUUUUAUGUAUGCAAUCUUGGAAUGCGUACAAAUAAGUUUGACGGUUGGAUCGUUAAAAAACGUUUUGUAGAAUGCAUAUUGUGUCAAAAUAGUAGAUUAAACAAACACUUAAAGUUAAUAUUAUACUUCUAUUAAGUAUAAAAAAAGAUUUUGUGGUAUCCACUAGUGUAAAUACUUUAAAUUAAAGAUCAAAUUUAUUCAUUACAUUCUUAUAGGGUCGAGGAGUGUAUCUGUGAAAAAUCAUCAAAAUCGGAGCUAAAAUAACCGUUAAAUUGUGAUUUUUCGUUUAUAAUCGUCGAAAACUUUUGUUCCGUUACGUAAUAUCUGAAUGUUUGUUUUUUAAAAUUUUUUACGUAUGCGAUCUCGGAAUGUGUACAAAUAAGUUUGACAGUUGGAUCGUUGAAAAAAGUUUCGUAAAAUGCAUAUUGCGUCAAAACAGUAAAUUAAACAAACACUUAGAGUUAAUAUUAUACUUCUAUCAAGUAUAAAAUAAGUUUUUGUGGUAUCCACUAGUGUAAAUAGUUUAAAUUAAAGAUCAAAUUUAUUCAUUACAUUCUUAUAGGGUCGAGGAGUGUAUCUGUAAAAAAUCAUCAAAAUUGGAGCUAAAAUAACCGUUAAAUUGUGAUUUUUCAUUUAUAACCGUCGAAAACUUUUGUUCCGUCACGUAAUCUCUGAAUCUUUAUUUUUUAUGAUUUUUUACGUAUGCAAUCUCGGAAUGUGUACAAAUAAUUUUGACGGUUGGAUUGUUGAAAAACGUUUCGUAGAAUGCUUUUUGCGUCAAAACGGUAGAUUAAACAAACACUUAAGAGUUAAUAUUAUACUUCUAUUAAGUAUAAAAUAAGUUUUUGUGGUAUCCACUAGUGUAAAUACUUUAAAUUAAAGAUCAAAUUUAUUCAUUACAUUCAUAUAGGGUCGAGGAGUGUAUCUGUAAAAAAUCAUCAAAAUCGGAGCUAAAAUAACCGUUAAAUUGUGAUUUUUUGUUUAUAACUGUUGAUAACUUUUGUUCUGUUACGUAAUCUCUGAAUGUUUGUUUUUUACGAUUUUUUACGUAUGAAAUCUUGGAAUGUGUACAAAUAAGUUUGACGGUUGGAUCGUUAAAAAAAGUUUCGUAGAAUGCGUCAAAAUAGUAGAUUAAACAAACACUUAAAGUUAAUAUUAUACUUCUAUUAAGUAUGAAAAAAGAUUUUGUGGUAUCCAUUAGUGUAAAUACUUUAAAUUAAAGAUCAAAUUUAUUCAUUACAUUCUUAUAGGGUCGAGGAGUGUAUCUGUAAAAAAUCAUCAAAAUCGGAGCUAAAAUAACCGUUAAAUUGUGAUUUUUCGUUUAUAACCAUCGAAAACUUUUGUUUCGUUACGUAAUCUCUGAAUGUUUGUUUUUUACGAUUUUUUAUGUAUACGAUCUCAGAAUGUGUACAAAUAAGUUUGACGGUUGGAUUGUUGAAAAAAGUUUCGUAGAAUGCAUAUUGCGUCAAAACAGUAAAUUAAACAAACACUUAGAGUUAAUAUUAUACUUCUAUUAAGUAUAAAAUAAGUUUUUGUGGUAUCUACUAGUGUAAAUACUUUAAAUUAAAGAUCAAAUUUAUUCAUUACAUUCUUAUAGGGUCGAGGAGUGUAUAUGUACAAAAUCAUCAAAAUCGGAGCUAAAAUAACCGUUAAAUUGUGAUUUUUCGUUUAUAACCGUCGAAAACUUUUGUUCCGUUACGUAAUCUCUGAAUGUUUGUUUUUUACGAUUUUUUAUGUAUGCGAUCUCGGAAUGUGUACAAAUAAGUUUGACGGUUGGAUCGUUGAAAAAAGUUUCGUGGAAUGCAUAUUGCGUCAAAAUAGUAGAUUAAACAAACACUUAGAGUUAAUAUUAUACUUCUAUUAAGUAUAAAAAAAGAUUUUGUGGUAUCUACUAGUGUAAAUACUUUAAAUUAAAGAUCAAAUUUAUUCAUUACAUUCUUAUAGGGUCGAUGAGUGUAUCUAUAAAAAAUCAUCAAAAUCGGAGCUAAAAUAACCGUUAAAUUGUGAUUUUUCGUUUAUAACCGUCGAAAACUUUUGUUCCGUUACGUAAUCUCUGAAUGUUUGUUUUUUACGAUUUUUUAUGUAUGGGAUCUCGGAAUGUGUACAAAUAAGUUUGAUGGUUGGAUCGUUGAAAAAUGUUUCGUAGAAUGCAUAUUGCGUCAAAACAAUAGAUUAAACAAACACUUAAAGUUAAUAUUAUACUUCUAUUAAGUAUAAAAUAAGUUUUUGUGGUAUCUACUAGUGUAAAUACUUUAAAUUAAAGAUCAAAUUUAUUCAUUACAUUCUUAUAGGGUCGAAGAGUGUAUCUGUAAAAAAAUCAUCAAAAUCGGAGCUAAAAUAACAGCUAAAUUGUGAUUUUUCGUUUAUAACCGUCGAUAACUUUUGUUCUGUUACGUAAUAUUUGAAUGUUUGUUUUUUUUACAAUUUUUUACGUAUGCAAUCUUGGAAUGUGUACAAAUAAGUUUGACGGUUGGAUCGUUGAAAAAAGCUUGUCAUUACGAGUGUUUAUAUAUUUUUUCUAUAUUUUUUACACUUCUACAUUAAUUAAAAAACUAUUAAAGACUUUAGGUAAGCGAAAAUAUACUUAAAACAAAAUU